AUAAACCUUUGCGGAGGCCUAGAUGUGCAGACCCUCUACUUCCAUGCAUGUCAGACGCCGCAGGAAAGUAGGAUGAACUCCAAUUCAAUUGGCUUAGUAACUCAAUCAAUCGAGGGAUGAGAUGUGCUAGUGUGACACCUCACACUAGUAAGUGGGAUGUCCAAAGUGACCCCAUAUCCAAAGGAAGAGGGGCAGCAACAAGGGG
rnacentral:lncRNA from 1 species